AACAAUGGAAUUAUUGGUCCUGCUUUGCUUGACCCGAUAGAUUUCUUUCAACUUGGGUGCCCGAGUUACUCCUAAGGCGAAGCAGAGAGAGUUGAAAAUCGCCUUAAGAUUUUCAUUUUCUACAUACGGGACACCGUGGAAACGCAAACGCGGCCCUCCUUAAGGCACAUUUUAAAGGCCCCAUAGAAAAUUCCGAAAGUGAGUGACACAAGAUGGCUCUCAAUAGAAUUGGCAGUAUCUCGUAUAUUGGAACAGUGGG